rnacentral:lncRNA from 1 species
CACCAUUAGUGACAGGUGGCCUUUGCCACCAUAAUGUACUUCCAAAUUGCUUUGGGUUGCAGAGGCCAAAAGAAGAGUCUCUUGAUUUCUCCACUCCGGUGUCUCAGAUGUACCUGAUGGUCUCCCCACAGUGUUUUCUCAGUUAAAGUCACCUUUGUUCAGCAAGAAACAUUGUCUCUAAUGCCUCUUCUUCCCUCAUUCCAUUUCCAACCAAUCACAAGUCCCACAAUUCUACCUUGAAAAGCUGUCAGGUGUGUGCACCUAUCUCUGCUUCCAUUCCCUCUACACAAGUCAGGUCAGCUGCUAUAACAAGCAACUUCAGAUGUCAUGGUUUAACACAAGGAAUCUUUGUUCCUUUCAGCACAGUCCAGUGGAGGGAGAUGGUGCAGCUCUGCUCCAAAAAGCCAAUCGGCGACCCAGGCUUCUUCCAGCUUGUGGCUCUGCAGUACCCAGGCCUUGGAGUCCUCCAUUGGAUCCUUGGCAAAAAGGCUUUUCACAGAGGAGUGAGAAGAAUCUUUUCCAAGACCAGAAUCUGAUCAUACCAUUAAUUUGCUUCAAACCCUCCAGUGAUUUCCCAACUGCUUUCAGGAUCAAAGUCUACAUCCUUUCCCACAAAAUUAUGUAUGGCCUGGCUGUUGCCACCCUCUCACACUGGGCCUCCCACACCCAUUUCUCCUUGUUAAAAACCCGAUUUUUCAACUUGGGAAUUAAGUGAUUUUCUAAUUCAAGUUUUGCUAAUCAAUAGAAAUAAAUGAUUUUUUAAAAAAAUUAAACUGAUGGUCUUUUUUUAGACUUAUGUGACGGUAAAGUGGUCAUAUACUUGGAUUUUUUUUAGGAAUUCA